rnacentral:lncRNA from 1 species
UUUUUAAUUUUCUUUUCAGUUAUGAAAGGCUAAGUCUUUCUGACAGUAUGAAAGUAGUAGUCGUGACAACAUCCUUCUCUCUGGACAUCUAUCUCAAUCUUUUGUUCAGUUUGUUGAUCACUCUGUUUCAUGUUUCUAUUUUGCAUUGCCUACAUGGCACAUACAUAUCACCUAUAUGUCGUUAUAAAGAUUACUCUUUUGUGUUGUGAAGG